rnacentral:tRNA from 1 species
GGUGGCUCAGUGGUAGAGUGCUUGCCUUGUGAGCAUGAAGCCCUGGGUUCAAUCCUCAGCACCA